AGCGAACGCUGGCGGCAGGCCUAACACAUGCAAGUCAAACGAAGUCUUCGGACUUAGUGGCGGACGGGUGAGUAACACGUGGGAACGUGCCUUUAGGUUCGGAAUAACUCAGGGAAACUUGUGCUAAUACCGAAUGUGCCCUUCGGGGGAAAGAUUUAUCGCCUUUAGAGCGGCCCGCGUCUGAUUAGCUAGUUGGUGAGGUAAAGGCUCACCAAGGCGACGAUCAGUAGCUGGUCUGAGCGGAUGAUCAGCCACAUUGGGACUGAGACACGGACCAAAAUCCUACGGGAGGCAGCAGUGGGGAAUCGUGCGCAAUGGGCGAAAGCAUGACGCAGCGAUGCCGCGUGAAUGAUGAAGGUCUUAGGAUUGUAAAAUUCUUUCACCGGGGACGAUAAUGACGGUACCCGGAGAAGAAGCCCCGGCUAACUUCGUGCCAGCCGCCGCCGUAA
rnacentral:rRNA from 1 species